rnacentral:lncRNA from 1 species
UUAUAUCCUAGCAUCAAAUUCAUGCAUGAAAACUAAGUAUGCAUCCUUAAUAAACAUACACAAAUCUGUUAUGAAUAAAAUAGAUAAUUGAAUUGCAAUCACAACUUAUCAAAUCACAAUUGGAAGAAAUCAAUUCAUAUUGCAAAUAUAUUCAUGGUUUUGAAUUCUCCUCUAGCCAAAAAAGGUUUAGUUCCUCAUACUUGCAAUUAAACAGAAACAAUUGAAAUUAAACAUUGAAAACCAAAGUAGAAUACACCUAGAAUGCUCCAGCAAUCCAAAUUGAAUGACUAUUACAACUCCAAUCAAUCCUCCUUCCUUGCAAAUAUGCGGCACCAAGGUGUGAGUGGUGAAUGGAUGGUCUCUUGUGGUGGUGGAUGGAUAUAGGUGAGUUAUGGUGAAGGGUGGAGAGUUGUGUAGAUGAUGUGGUGUCUUUGGAUGAUAGCCCCCAAAUUAUGGUGAAGGG